GUAACUUGCCACUGAAGGGUAUUUUUGGUAUUUUUACCAAAUUUCAUAUUUUCUGGGUAGACAUGACACGUUGCUAGACGUCAAUCUUGUCUUAUAGGUUUGAUCGAAUUAAAGAGUUUAAUUCGAUCACCAAUUAAAAAAGAUUCUAAUUGUUAAGUUCGGGUUCGCGCAGUUUGGACUUAAAUCGAUUAGAAGAGUUCUAAUCAAGUUGGGUCAACUCGCACUCACACCUAUUGCUGGCUAAGUAUGGAACCCAAUGGGUCACACACAAGAGAACUUAUCAAAGGUUUAAUUGGAUUAGAUCAUGUUUGCAAGAUAAACAUCCUAGCAGGUGUUGCAAACCUUAGCUCCUGAUUCGAACUGGAUUCGAAUCUGAUUCGAAUUGGAUUCGAAUCUGAUUCUUAAUUGAUCUAAUUUGAUUAGAUCAUAUUCUAAUAUG
rnacentral:lncRNA from 1 species